UCCAGGAAGAUGAAGAUUUCAUCUGUUUUGUUCACUAUGGAUGUAUUCAAAACUCCUUGCAAAUAUUAGACACUCCAUAAGUGUUAAGUAAAUGAAGAAAGGAAGGAAGGAAUGAUUGAUACUAGGAAAUGAACAGCAGGGUGGGGUAAGGUAUAAGCUCAAAUGUAAGUUGGUAGAAGUGAUGUCACCUGACCUCAAGACUCCUUAGAAAGCUAAAGUAUUAGAUACAGUGUGGUAUUGACAUAAGAACAGAUGAAAAGAUCAGUGGGGUAUACAAAGGCCAAAGUGAUCCAUGUUAAUAGAGUCAAUUGACUUUGAACAGACACAUGAAAGCAAGUCAAUGAGUAAAGUCUUUUAAACAAUUGGUGCUAUAACAACUGAAUAAAGGAGAGAGAAAAAAAUUUCCAUCUUCUUCUACAUACCAUAUACAGAAAUUAACUUAAGAGGGAUCUUAGACCUAAACAUAAAAGCUAAAACUAUAAAGAUUUUAGAAGAAAGCAAGAAAAAAUAUCUUGGUGGCUUGGGAUAAGCAGAUAUUUUUUAAGUAGGCUUAGAAAUUGAUAACCACAAAAGUAAAAAGAAAAAACAUGCCCAUCAAAGGAAGGUAGACAAAUUAUGGUAUCUUCACACAGACUUCUCAGGAACGAAGAGAAACAAACUACUGAUACACUGACAUAGAUGAGUCUCGCAGACUGCUGGUCAAAAGCAGCAUAUGAAGCUCAAGAACAGGCAAAACUAAUAUGGGGUAAAAAUAAUUAGAACAGUGAUUGCCUUGUGAGAUUGAGGGAUUGAGUAGAAAGGAAUAGGAGAAAACUUUCUAUAAAGAAUGUAAAUGUUCCAAAUUGUGAGGAGUUUAAGUUACACAGGUAUAUGUGUGUGUCAAAAUUUUAUGGCUAAGGUUUGCAUAUAUAUAUACAUUUUACCUAAAGUAAAAAAAACUGUAAUAAUGAUAAUAAAAAUAACC
rnacentral:lncRNA from 1 species